AGAAUUCCAUCCAUUCCAUCGAUCUGCUGCCAAAGAAUGUUACUGAUUGGGCAAUAAUUAUUUACUUGGUGUGUGGGCACCACUGUUUUUUAAAUGAGUGUUUUCAUUUGUAUCAAACUGGACCUGCUUUCCUCAAGGAUUGCCCAAAAGGAGACACAAAUUUACUAAACACUUAUCAAUAAUAGAACACCGUGCUAGGCAAUUUCCAUAUACUAUUAAUUUAAUCCUCACAAUAACUUUGGAAGACAGAAAGUAUUUUCUCUGAUUUACAGAUGAGGAUCCUGAAGCUCAGAGGGGUAAAGUUACUUCUCUGAGGUCACCUAGCUAGUAAGUGGUAGAGCUGGGAUUCCAAGCCAGGAUCCUCUGUCUCCAAAGCCUGUACUUCAUUCAGGACACUUUCCCCCACAUUUAGAAAAGCUGUAAUUAUCUUCCAGUGAGACAGCAUAGCAAAUGUGAUCACUGUACCUUCCUCACUCCCCAGGUGUUCAAGCAGCCCUGGCCAGGGAUCAUGCGCACAGUCUAUGGGAACCACGAACGCUUUGAGACAACCUACUUUAAGAAGUUUCCUGGAUACUAUGUUACAGGAGAUGGCUGCCAGCGGGACCAGGAUGGCUAUUACUGGAUCACUGGCAGGAUUGAUGACAUGCUCAAUGUAUCUGGACACCUGCUGAGUACAGCGGAGGUGGAGUCAGCACUUGUGGAACAUGAGGCUGUUGCAGAGGCAGCUGUGGUGGGCCACCCUCAUCCUGUGAAGGGUGAAUGCCUCUACUGCUUUGUCACCUUGUGUGAUGGCCACACCUUCAGCCCCAAGCUCACCGAGGAGCUCAAGAAGCAGAUUAGAGAAAAGAUUGGCCCCAUUGCCACACCAGACUACAUCCAGAAUGCACCUGGCUUGCCUAAAACCCGCUCAGGGAAAAUCAUGAGGCGAGUGCUUCGGAAGAUUGCUCAGAAUGACCAUGACCUCGGGGACAUGUCUACUGUGGCUGACCCAUCUGUCAUCAGUCACCUCUUCAGCCACCGCUGCCUGACC
rnacentral:sRNA from 1 species